rnacentral:lncRNA from 1 species
CUGAAUUCAAAAGGAAGAGACGAAAACCUAUUCUAUCAUAUUUUGUAUUUUUUUUGGAUUUGCAGCAGUGACGAAACAAAAAGAGCUGAGUUUGCUUGUAUGUGUUUUUAUGACUUUAGGUAGGAUGAAAUCUCAAGCUAACGAGAUAAGCACAAAGCUGAAAACCUCCGCCCAUUUCCCUCAUUCUCACGACCUGUGUGCGUGCGUGUUUCGGAUUUUGUAUCUCGGUGGCUGUGUCCAAAAUGUUUUGUUGCAGCUAAUUUUGGUUCUCUUGGUCUGGGGUGUGCGGAAGGGGAAUAAGAUGGAGAAGGGGUCUUCAAUAGGUGUCGAAGAAGAUUAAGUUUCAGGUGAAAUCAUUUGUAUAUUGGUGUUCUUUGCUGAAGAAGAUGAGGAACAGGGGGAGGGGGGUCCUCAGGUCCUCAGUUGUGUAGCUCCUAUGAUAUCUCUCUA